rnacentral:rRNA from 1 species
GAUGAACGCUGGCGGCGUGCCUAAUACAUGCAAGUCGAGCGAACGGACGAGAAGCUUGCUUCUCUGAUGUUAGCGGCGGACGGGUGAGUAACACGUGGAUAACCUACCUAUAAGACUGGGAUAACUUCGGGAAACCGGAGCUAAUACCGGAUAAUAUUUUGAACCGCAUGGUUCAAAAGUAAAAGACGGUCUUGCUGUCACUUAUAGAUGGAUCCGCGCUGCAUUAGCUAGUUGGUAAGGUAACGGCUUACCAAGGCAACGAUGCAUAGCCGACCUGAGAGGGUGAUCGGCCACACUGGAACUGAGACACGGUCCAGACUCCUACGGGAGGCCGCAGUAGGGAAUCUUCCGCAAUGGGCGAAAGCCUGACGGAGGAACGCCGCGUGGGUGAUGAAGGUCUUCGGAUCGUAAAACUCUGUUAUUAGGGAAGAACAUAUGUGUAAGUAACUGUGCACAUCUUGACGGUACCUAAUCAGAAAGCCACGGCUAACUACGUG